GCCGCUCCUCCGCGCGCUGUUCCGCACUUGCUGCCCUCGCCCGGCCCGGGGCGCCGCUGCCAUGCGGCUGGCGCUGCUCUGGGCCCUGGGGCUCCUGGGCGCGGGCAGCCCUCUGCCUUCCUGGCCGCUCCCAAAUAUAGGUGGCACCGAGGAGCAGCAGGCAGAGUCAGAGAAGGCCCCGAGGGAGCCCUUGGAGCCCCAGGUCCUUCAGGACCUCAAAAAGGUGCUUCAGACCAGUCUGCCUGAGCCCCUGAGGAUCAAGUUGGAGCUGGACGGUGACAGUCAUAUCCUGGAGCUGCUACAGAAUAGAGAGUUGGUCCCAGGCCGUCCAACCCUGGUGUGGUACCAGCCCGAUGGCACUCGGGUGGUCAGUGAGGGACACACUCUGGAGAACUGCUGCUACCAGGGAAGAGUGCAGGGAUAUGCAGGCUCCUGGGUGUCCGUCUGCACCUGCUCUGGGCUCAGAGGCUUGGUGGUCCUGACCCCAGAGAGAAGCUAUACCCUGGAGCAGGAGCCUGGGGACCUUCAGGGUCCUCCCAUUAUUUCGCGAAUCCAAGAUCUCCACCUGCCAGGCCACACCUGUGCCCUGAGCUGGCAGGAAUCUGUAUACACUCAGACUCCACCAGAGCACCCCCUGGGACAGCGCCACAUUCGCCGGGUCCAGAAAUACCGGGACUUCCAGCACCUGCUAAACCGCACAUUGGAAGUGGCCCUCUUGCUGGACACAGUGAGUGCUGGACAGGGCAGCCCCCACCCCAGGCCCCUGACCAUGACAACCCCUCUUCUGAGCCCCAGCUGUCUUUCAGUUCUUCCGGCCCCUGAAUGUACGAGUGGCACUAGUGGGCCUGGAGGCCUGGACCCAGCGUGACCUGGUGGAGAUCAGCCCAAACCCAGCUGUCACCCUCGAAAACUUCCUCCACUGGCGCAGGGCACAUUUGCUGCCUCGAUUGCCCCACGACAGUGCCCAGCUGGUGACUGGUACUUCAUUUUCUGGGCCUACGGUGGGCAUGGCCAUUCAGAACUCCAUCUGUUCUCCUGACUUCUCAGGAGGUGUGAACAUGGACCACUCCACCAGCAUCCUGGGAGUCGCCUCCUCCAUAGCCCAUGAGUUGGGCCACAGCCUGGGCCUGGACCAUGAUUUGCCUGGGAAUAGCUGCCCCUGUCCAGGUCCAGCCCCAGCCAAGACCUGCAUCAUGGAGGCCUCCACAG
rnacentral:sRNA from 1 species